UCAUUUUCGAUCAGUCUUACAAUCUUCGAAAUUACGCGGGAUUGGGAUAAGGGUGUUUUCAUUGUUGGUUCAAGGAUAAUAAAAUAGGGUUUGUGUUGAAUUUUUGUAACGCCUGAGGAACCGCAACUGUUUUGCCAGGAAGUUUAAUUAUAUAGAUACAGAACAGUGAUCGUCGACCUACGUCAAGAAAGCUACAUCAGAUCUGACUAGUUCUGACUUAUUGUUAGGCAAUAGUGAGGAAGUGGCGAUUACAAAAAGGUUAGAGACUGAGGCUUGACUCAACAAUUUUCUUGCGUGACGCUAGGGAUUUUCAUGCUAUCGUAUUGAAGCAGGCAGGGUGGACAGCCGAUUAAACAGCUGAUGUUCCACGGACACCGGCGAAAUGUCAAGAUCUAGACAAAUCACUCUACGCGUGCAGUCGCCAGAGGGAACAAAACGCUUGGACGUCAUUCCCUCUGAUACAGUUUCUGGCCUCUAUGAAAAGGUUUACGAAGCCUUUGAUCUCAGCAGCUUCAGCUUUGGUCUUUUUAAACAAAGAAAUCGUAAAGAUGAGAUUAUUUCCUCUAGAGCUAGAACAGUUACAGAUGUUGGAUUAUCUCAUGGUGAUAUGGUAUAUCUUGUACCACUCGAUGGAAAUCUGCAGUGGGGUGCACCCUCUACCAGUGGUGCCUCCUCCAAUGCUUCCUCAGGAGAAUCUACUUCGAUGGAAGUUGUACCCAGCACUAGCCAAGGAUCUCAAGGACAAUUCCCCAUAUCAGCUUUUCGCUCAUCCUCGAACGUUGUCGAAGACGAUGUAGAUCAGCAACUGUGGAAACUAGAUGGCCAAAUCCAACGAAAACGUGAUGAGAAAUUCUGUCGACAUGGCUCCAAUGCAUGCUGUGUCCAUUGCUCCCCACUGGAACCUUUCGAUGAGGCUUACCUUAAGGAUCAGACUAUCAAACACCUCUCGUUUCAUUCAUACCUCAGGAAACUCACUGCUGGAGUGGACAGAGGAAAGUUCCUACAAUUAGACGACAUAAGCUGCCGCAUAAAGACAGGCUGCAAAGAUCAUCCUCCUUGGCCACGUGGAAUCUGUAGCAAGUGUCAACCGAACGCGAUCACCUUGAACAGACAACCAUAUCGUCACGUCGACAACGUCGUCUUCGAGAACGCCGGUCUGGUCGAACGUUUUUUAAACUAUUGGCGUAGCACUGGCCACCAGCGUAUCGGUUAUCUCUAUGGUAGAUAUGAGAUACACUCGGACGUACCCCUUGGAAUUAGAGCGGUGGUUUCUGCUAUAUACGAGCCUCCCCAGGAAAGUACAAGGGAUACUGUCGUCCUAUUACAGGAUGACAAGGAAACUCUGGUAGAUGAAUUAGCGAGGUCCCUGGACAUACGGAGAGUCGGUUGGAUAUUCACCGACCUCAUCGCCGACGACGUCAAGAAGGGCACUGUUAAACACGUUAGGAAUAUAGAUAGUCAUUUCCUAUCCGCACAAGAAUGCAUCAUGGCCGGACACUUUCAAAAUCAGCAUCCAAACCCCUGCCGUUUUUCCCCCAGCGGUAUCUUCGGCUCAAAAUUCGUUACCGUCUGUGUGACCGGGGACGACAAAAAUCAAGUACACAUGGAGGGCUACCAGGUAUCUAACCAGUGCAUGGCAUUAGUACGAGACGGUUGCCUGGUACCAACUAAGGAUGCACCCGAGCUCGGUUACGUGAUCGAAUCCAGCGACAAGCAAUACGUCCCCGACGUUUACUACAAGGAAAAGGAUAACUAUGGUAAUGAAGUUUCGAGAUUGGCACGGCCAUUACCUGUGGAAUAUCUACUUGUGGACGUACCUGCUUCCACUCCACUCACACCACAAUUCACUUUUUAUGCUAGCGAUGAAAUUACUCCCUUUCCUGUUGAGAAUAGGCUAGUAGAUGGACAGGUUCAAGUUUUUAAUUCUCUUUGCACCUAUAUGCAGCAGUUUAGUCCUGAUCAAUUUCUUGAAGCAAUGUCAGAUUUUCAUCUGUUGCUUUUUAUCGCUACUAUGGAUAUGCUCCCCAUGAAGGACCACAUGGCGCCAUUAUUAGAAGCUAUUCGUACACGCAACAAAGAAAAGGCUCUAGAGUGGGCACGUUCUGAACAUUGGGCUACUGUUGAGCAGCUAAUAUUCGCAACGACGGCGGCAUCGCCACGUUCGUCGCGUACCCCAGGCGUCGCGUUUGCCCUUGGCUCUGGUCUUCCUUCUAGUAAUGGCGGUUCCUCCAGUGGAUCCGUUUCUUCAUCGGCCGCAGGCGGAAGCGGAAACGUCGGUGCCGGCCAAUCAGUAGUUAAUACGGCUACUGAACAGCCGCUCUGGACCUGUCCACACUGCACGUUUCUCAAUCCCGCAGAUCUGGCCUCUUGCGAAAUGUGCAAUUUGCCGAGGUAUCUUUGACCUAUACUGUGAUCUUGUAAUCCAAUCACAAGUCGUCACCAAGUAUUUAAGGAUUUGAUGUAUGCUGUGACACCGCGGAAUGACAAUUAUUUUCUACUUUUGACCUUAUUUAUGAAUAAAUGAAAGUGUCUGGUCAAUUGUUCAACUUUUUUACUUAACAAUAUACUUUAAACGAUUCUUCAAAACAGGCAAUAAUAUCAGCCACAAGGUUUAGAUGCCUAUCACUGAAGUUGAUGGUAUCUCGCAACAAUGGCGCUAUUCGUAGCGAGUGAUUUUCAAAUGUUAUGUAUGCAUAUAGCGUUCUUUUUGAAACCAGAUUGUUCUCAUGCGUCGUGUCACUGCCGAAUUAAAAUUAUUUGCAUUUGAGGAAGGAAAAAAGAUAUAAUGCCAAAUGUAAUUAGGAGGUGUAUCCGCCAUCCACAUAAUAUCCGUCUUCACAAGCAAUGCUAUCAUCUUGUGAGAAAACUCGACAAAAUGAAAAAUUAUGAAUAAACAUAGUCAACCAA